GUAGGGUCCGAGCGUUAUCCGGAAUCAUUGGGGCGUAAAGAGCUCGUAGGCGGUUCAGCAAGUCGGCUGUGAAACGUUCGAGGGCUCAACCUCGAAAUUGCAGUCGAUACUGCUGUGACUUGAAUUCGGUAGAGGAGAAUGGAAUUACCCGGUGUAGCGGUGAAAUGCGCAGAUAUCGGGAGGAACACCAGUAGCGAAGGCGGUUCUCUGGGCCGAUAUUGACGCUGAGGAGCGAAAGCGUGGGGAGCAAACAGGAUUAGAUACCCUGGUAGUCCACGCCGUAAACGUUGGAUGCUAGGUGUGGCGGUCUACCAACGACUGCCGUGCCGAAGCUAACGCAUUAAGCAUCCCGCCUGGGGAGUACGGCCGCAAGGCUA
rnacentral:rRNA from 1 species